UAGAGUUUGAUCCUGGCUCAGGAUGAACGCUCUUGGCGUGCUUAACACAUGCAAGUCGAACGAAGCACUUUAUUUGAUUUCCUUCGGGACUGAUUAUUUUGUGACUGAGUGGCGGACGGGUGAGUAACGCGUGGGUAACCUGCCUUGUACAGGGGGAUAACAGUUGGAAACGGCUGCUAAUACCGCAUAAGCGCACAGCAUCGCAUGAUGCAGUGUGAAAAACUCCGGUGGUAUAAGAUGGACCCGCGUUGGAUUAGCUAGUUGGUGAGGUAACGGCCCACCAAGGCAACGAUCGGUAGCCGGACUGAGAGGUUGAACGGCCACAUUGGGACUGAGACACGGCCCAGACUCCUACGGGAGGCAGCAGUGGGGAAUAUUGCACAAUGGGGGAAACCCUGAUGCAGCGACGCCGCGUGGAGGAAGAAGGUCUUCGGAUUGUAAACUCCUGUUGUUGAGGAAGAUAAUGACGGUACUCAACAAGGAAGUGACGGCUAACUACGUGCCAGCAGCCGCGGUAAAACGUAGGUCACAAGCGUUGUCCGGAAUUACUGGGUGUAAAGGGAGCGCAGGCGGGAAGACAAGUUGGAAGUGAAAUCUAUGGGCUCAACCCAUAAACUGCUUUCAAAACUGUUUUUCUUGAGUAGUGCAGAGGUAGGCGGAAUUCCCGGUGUAGCGGUGGAAUGCGUAGAUAUCGGGAGGAACACCAGUGGCGAAGGCGGCCUACUGGGCACCAACUGACGCUGAGGCUCGAAAGUGUGGGUAGCAAACAGGAUUAGAUACCCUGGUAGUCCAUGCCGUAAACGAUGAUUACUAGGUGUUGGGGGAUUGACCCCCUCAGUGCCGCAGUUAACACAAUAAGUAAUCCACCUGGGGAGUACGACCGCAAGGUUGAAACUCAAAGGAAUUGACGGGGGCCCGCACAAGCAGUGGAGUAUGUGGUUUAAUUCGAAGCAACGCGAAGAACCUUACCAGGUCUUGACAUCCGAUGCAUAGCACAGAGAUGUGUGAAAUCCUUCGGGACAUCGAGACAGGUGGUGCAUGGUUGUCGUCAGCUCGUGUCGUGAGAUGUUGGGUUAAGUCCCGCAACGAGCGCAACCCUUAUUGCCAGUUACUACGUUAAGAGGACUCUGGCGAGACUGCCGUUGACAAAACGGAGGAAGGUGGGGAUGACGUCAAAUCAUCAUGCCCUUUAUGACCUGGGCUACACACGUACUACAAUGGCGUUAAACAAAGAGAAGCAAGACCGCGAGGUGGAGCAAAACUCAAAAACAACGUCUCAGUUCAGAUUGCAGGCUGCAACUCGCCUGCAUGAAGUCGGAAUUGCUAGUAAUCGCGGAUCAGCAUGCCGCGGUGAAUACGUUCCCGGGCCUUGUACUCACCGCCCGUCA
rnacentral:rRNA from 1 species